AUUGAACGCUGGCGGCAGGCCUAACACAUGCAAGUCGAGCGAGCGGCGGACGGGAGAGUAAUGUAUGUGGGUCUGCCUGAUGGAGGGGGAUAACUAUUGGAAACGGUAGCUCAUACCGCAUACCCUCAGAUGAACCCAUAUGGGAUGAGCUUGUAGGUGAGGUAACGGCUCACAUAGGCGACGAUCCCUAUCUGGGCUGAGAGGAGGAUCAGCCACACUGGGACUGAGACACGGUCCAGACUCCGACGGGAGGCAGCAGUGGGGAAUAUUGCACAAUGGGCGAAAGCCUGAUGCAGCAAUGCCGCGUGUAUGAAGAAGGCCUUCGGGUUGUAAAGUACUUUCAGUCGGGAGGCGUUACCCGCAGAAGAAGCACCGGCUAACUCCGUGCCAGCAGCCGCGGUAAUUC
rnacentral:rRNA from 1 species